GACGAACGCUGGCGGCGUGCUUAACACAUGCAAGUCGAACGGAAAGGCCCUGCUUUUGUGGGGUGCUCGAGUGGCGAACGGGUGAGUAACACGUGAGUAACCUGCCCUUGACUUUGGGAUAACUUCAGGAAACUGGGGCUAAUACCGGAUAGGAGCUCCUGCUGCAUGGUGGGGGUUGGAAAGUUUCGGCGGUUGGGGAUGGACUCGCGGCUUAUCAGCUUGUUGGUGGGGUAGUGGCUUACCAAGGCUUUGACGGGUAGCCGGCCUGGGAGGGUGACCGGCCACAUUGGGACUGAGAUACGGCCCAGACUCCUACGGGAGGCAGCAGUGGGGAAUAUUGCACAAUGGGCGGAAGCCUAAUGCAGCAACGCCGCGUGCGGGAUGACGGCCUUCGGGUUGUAAACCGCUUUCGCCUGUGACGAAGCGUGAGUGACGGUAAUGGGUAAAGAAGCACCGGCUAACUACGUG
rnacentral:rRNA from 1 species